GCAUAUCUGAAGAACAUCACCAGCAACAAAUCUCUGGAGCUGGUUUGCAUUGAUUUCUUGUCUUUAGAAGUGGACAAGAGGAAUAUUGGGAACAUCCUAGUAGUGACCGACCAUUACACGCGAUAUGCGCAGGCAUAUCCCACACGUGAUCAGAGGGCCACCACUGUCGCUCGAGUACUGUGGGAAAAAUAUUUCUCAGUUUAUGGAUUCCCAGCCCGGAUACACUCGGAUCAGGGACGAGAUUUUGAGAGUCACCUUCUGAAGGAGGUGCUGAGGAUAGCAGGUAUUAAAAAGUCAAGGACAACGCCUUACCACCCGCAAGGUGACCCUCAGCCAGAGAGGUUCAACCGAACCCUAUUGGAUAUGUUAGGGACUUUGCGGCCAGAGCAGAAGGCAACCUGGAGCCAACAUGUUGCAUUUCUGGUGCACGCCUACAAUGCCACAAAGAACGAUGCUACGGGGGUCACCCCAUAUCUCUUGAUGUUUGGGCGAGAACCAAGACUACCCAUAGAUUUGUGCUUUGGUGUAUCAGAGGAUGGCAAUAGCUAUGAAACCCAUCAGCAAUAUGUAUCCCGACUACGAGAAAAGCUACGGGAUGCUUAUCACUUAGCUACGUCUGCAGCUCGGAAGAACGCAGACCGCAACAAACAGCGAUAUGAUGCUAGGGUGCGUCUGCAAGAGCUCCAGCCAGGGGACAGAGUCCUGCUGCGAAAUUUGGGUAUUGCUGGCAAACACAAGAUAGCUGACAGAUGGAAGGCAAUACCUUACUUAGUGAUGGAAAAGCUAGGAGACCUGCCGGUCUACAAGAUCAAACCUGAAGAGGGUCCAGGGCAGACCAAAACCGUGCAUAGAAACCUUUUGCUCCCUGUGGGAGAAUUGGUAGGCAGCCCUUAUGAGAUGGGCCACAACAGGGCAACUGGGCAGAACGAAGGUGCUGUACCAAAGCCGCCUUCCAACGUGGACAGCCGGCCUCCUGCAGCUAACCUACCCCUACUCAGCACAUCUGACAGUGAGUCUGAGGAGGAAGACACAACCAUGGUGUAUCCUGGGAUGAAGACAAGAUUUCAGUCUCGAUCCGCUGAAUCAGAAGAGAGCACAUCCUCUUCUGCCCUAAACCCUAUGGCAGAAGUAUUUAGGCCCAUUCCUGACAUCCCUGAGCCACUGGUGGGACCCCCGUGUAAUGACUUACACAGGCUAUUGGACAGUGGUGACAUACAGAUGGAGGAUGUCCAGAGCACCUGCGACCCUCCACUGUUAGAACUAGAAAUGCAGGGGCCUAUGCCAGUAUCUGAGGGGAACUCACAGGAAACCUCCCCAUCCGUCACUCAAGAGGAUGUCCCCUCUACCAUAGCAACAGAGAUUCUCAAUAGGCGAGACAGGGUAAUAAGACCAGUGAAACGGUUAACUUACGAUGCACCUGGGGUGAUUAGUGAGGAGCCUAUACAUUUAGCAUACAGGUUUGUGAAAGCUAAAGUGGGCUAUCUAAUGCCUUUUGGAGGGGACCAAUAAGUUGGUAUAGUAGGGAAUGUGAUUUGUCGGGACGACAAAUUCUUGGCUGGGGGGAGGAUGUAAGCAGAGUCAGGAUAAGCUCUACCCUGACAUCUGGUGGAAAGAAUUUCAGAGAGUGUAUUUGCAUAGGCACGCCUACCCUAUCCCAGACUGCUGAGCUGUGGGACUG
ensembl:lncRNA